rnacentral:rRNA from 1 species
GACGAAGGUGGCAAGCGUUGUUCGGAAUCACUGGGCAUAAAGAGCACGUAGGCGGCUAAGUCAGUCGGAUGUGAAAUACCUCGGCUCAACCGAGGAACUGCGUCCGAUACUGCUUGGCUUGAGGUCCGGAGGGGAGAGUGGAAUUCCCGGUGGAGCGGUGAAAUGCGUAGAUAUCUGGAGGAACACCGGUGGCGAAGGCGGCAUCCUGGACCAACACUGACGCUGAGGAGCGAAAGCCAGGGGAGCAAACGGG